rnacentral:rRNA from 1 species
AGAGUUUGAUCCUGGCUCAGAACGAACGUUGGCGGCGUGGUUUAGGCAUGCAAGUCGAGCGAGAAAGCACCUUCGGGUGUGAGUAAAGCGGCGAAAGGGUGAGUAAUAUAUAGACAAUCUACCCUUGAGUUCGGAAUAACCUCCCUAACGGGUGGCUAAUACCGGAUGGUGUCACGAGGUCGCAUGGCCUUGUGGCUAAAGGUGGGAUACUACCGCUCGAGGAGGAGUCUAUGUCCUAUUAGCUUGUUGGUGGGGUAACGGCCCACCAAGGCAAUGAUGGGUAGCCGGACUGAGAGGUUGGCCGGUCACACUGGGACUGAGACACUGCCCAGACUCCUACGGGAGGCUGCAGUCGAGAAUCUUCCGCAAUGGACGAAAGUCUGACGGAGCAACGCCGCGUGGGGGAUGAAGGCCUUCGGGUUGUAAACUCCUGUCAGGGGUUAUGAAAUUCAGGGUGGUUAAUACCCAUCUUGUUUGACAAAGGCCCCAGAGGAAGCACUGGCUAACUACGUGCCAGCAGCCGCGGUAAUACGUAGAGUGCAAACGUUGUUCGGAAUUACUGGGCAUAAAGGGCUCGUAGGCGGCCCGGUAAGUCGGUUGUGAAAGCCCCUGGCUCAACCAGGGAAUUGCAGCCGAUACUGCCGAGCUCGAGUGUGGGAGGGGAGUGUGGAACUUUCAGUGGAGCGGUGAAAUGCGUAGAUAUUGGAAGGAACGCCGGUGGCGAAAGCGACACUCUGGCCCACUACUGACGCUGAGGAGCGAAAGCUAGGGUAGCGAACGGGAUUAGAUACCCCGGUAGUCCUAGCCGUAAACGAUGGGCACUAAGUGGAGGGAAUCCUACCUUUCUCUCUUCUGAAGCUAAUGUAUUAAGUGCCCCGCCUGGGGAGUAUGGUCGCAAGGCUGAAACUCAAAGGAAUUGACGGGGGCUCGCACAAGCGGUGGAGGAUGUUGCUUAAUUCGAAGCAACGCGAAGAACCUUACCUGGGUUGAACUACGUGCUGCAAACCCCGUGAAAGCGGGGCUCCUUCGAGGGUGCACGAUAGGUGUUGCAUGGCUGUCGUCAGCUCGUGCCGUGAGGUGUUGGGUUAAGUCCCGUAACGAGCGAAACCCCUGUCCUUAGUUGCCAGCACUUCGGGUGGGGACUCUAAGGAGACUGCCUGUGUCAAGCAGGAGGAAGGUGGGGACGACGUCAAGUCAUCAUGGCCCUUACGCCCAGGGCUGCAAACGUCCCACAAUGGCCGGUACAGAGGGAUGCGAUACCGCGAGGUGGAGCAAAUCUCAGAAAGCCGGUCCCAGUUCGGAUUGCAGGCUGAAAUUCGCCUGCAUGAAGCCGGAAUCGCUAGUAAUCGCGGAUCAGCAUGCCGCGGUGAAUAUGUUCCCGAGCCUUGUACACACCGCCCGUCAAGCCACCCAAGUAGGGCGCACCCGAAGUCCAUGACCCAACCCGCAAGGGAGGGAGUGGCCGAAGGUGAGUUCCAUGAGGGGGACUAAGUCGUAACAAGGUAGCCA